CUCGUAGGUGGCCAACUAAGUCAGACGUGAAAUCCCUCAGCUUAACUGGGGAACUGCGUCUGAUACUGGAUGGCUUGAGUUUGGGAGAGGGAUGCGGAAUUCCAGGUGUAGCGGUGAAAUGCGUAGAUAUCUGGAGGAACACCGGUGGCGAAGGCGGCAUCCUGGACCAAUACUGACACUGAGGAGCGAAAAGCCAGGGGAAGCAAACG
rnacentral:rRNA from 1 species